UACGGAGGGUGCGAGCGUUGUCCGGAAUCAUUGGGCGUAAAGGGCGCGUAGGUGGCCCGGUCAGUCCGUGGUGAAAGCGCGGGGCUCAACCCUGCGUCGGCCAUGGAUACUGCCGCGGCUCGAGCACUGUAGAGGCAGGCGGAAUUCCUGGUGUAGCGGUGAAAUGCGCAGAUAUCAGGAGGAACACCGGUGGCGAAGGCGGAUCUCUGGGCCGAUACUGACGCUGAGGAGCGAAAGCGUGGGGAGCGAACAGG
rnacentral:rRNA from 1 species